UACGGAGGGUGCAAGCGUUAUCCGGAUUCACUGGGUUUAAAGGGUGUGUAGGCGGGGAUUUAAGUCAGUGGUGAAAUCUCCGGGCUCAACCCGGAAACUGCCAUUGAUACUAUUUAUCUUGAAUUCUGUUGAGGUAGGCGGAAUAUAUCAUGUAGCGGUGAAAUGCUUAGAUAUGAUAUAGAACACCGAUUGCGAAGGCAGCUUACUAAACAGACAUUGACGCUGAGGCACGAAAGCGUGGGGAUCAAACAGG
rnacentral:rRNA from 1 species